GACGUAGGGCGCGAGCGUUGUCCGGAUUUAUUGGGCGUAAAGAGCUCGUAGGCGGCUUGUUGCGUCGACUGUGAAAACCCGCGGCUUAACCGCGGGCCUGCAGUUGAUACGGGCGGGCUAGAGUUCGGUAGGGGAGACUGGAAUUCCUGGUGUAGCGGUGAAAUGCGCAGAUAUCAGGAGGAACACCGGUGGCGAAGGCAGCUCGCUGGGACGUUACUGACGCUGAGACGCGAAAGCGUGGGGAGCAAACAGG
rnacentral:rRNA from 1 species